rnacentral:misc_RNA from 1 species
CAGCGAAGAGAUCAUUAAUGCUAUUAUUCAUGAUGUGGACACAGAUAGGGUUGGUCCUACUUUCUUGUCAAUUGCUCUGCUUUUGGUUUUGAAAGUAGCGUACGCAUUUCCAAAUUUGUGUGAUGCUUUCCUUUCAAGUAGUUCUUUUUUUCAUAUAUGCAGAGGCGUGCAUCUUUGAUAGCAGAUUAUGGAAUUGGUCAUUCUAAACUACUUUGUUUUUUUUCUUUAAAAUUAUAUUUCUUUGGAAGUUAAAAAUCGUACCAUUAAUGCUAUGCUUUCUUGUUUGUGCAUAACCCCAAUACUUGUGCUCUGACCCACUCACGACCUGAGAUGUUUUCAUGGAAAUCUUCUUGCUUUUUUGAGGAGAGUUGAUUUCCUCUUUAUGAGGACUGAUCUAGUAUAUUUUACGGAGCCUUGGCAAUCUCAAUUUUCCUUUACAUCAUAUAAAAUUAUUAGUUCAUCAUAUGUUCUUUUUCUUCUUUAGGAAUCUUACCUGAAUAUUUUCUUUAAACUUACAGGAUGGAAGAAUAAGUUACGACGAGUUUGCCACGAUGAUGAAGGCUGGUACAGAUUGG